rnacentral:lncRNA from 1 species
AUUUUUUAAUAGAAUAUGGUUUUUACAGGAACUACCCAAAACAUGGAAACAUGCAAUUAUUAUCCCACAUAUAAAACCUGGUAAACCCCACUCCGACCCUUUGUCAUAUAGACCAAUCUCCUUGAUUUCAAAUUUCAAUAAAAUUAUGGAGAAAAUAGUUAAUAAUCGCUUAAAAUGGUAUUUAGAAAAAAAUAAGUUGUAUGCACCCACC